rnacentral:rRNA from 1 species
AAUCGUACCCCAAACCGACACAGGUGGUCAGGUAGAGAAUACCAAGGCGCUUGAGAGAACUCGGGUGAAGGAACUAGGCAAAAUGGUGCCGUAACUUCGGGAGAAGGCACGCUGAUAUGUAGGUGAAGCGACUUGCUCGUGGAGCUGAAAUCAGUCGAAGAUACCAGCUGGCUGCAACUGUUUAUUAAAAACACAGCACUGUGCAAACACGAAAGUGGACGUAUACGGUGUGACGCCUGCCCGGUGCCGGAAGGUUAAUUGAUGGGGUUAGCGGUAACGCGAAGCUCUUGAUCGAAGCCCCGGUAAACGGCGGCCGUAACUAUAACGGUCCUAAGGUAGCGAAAUUCCUUGUCGGGUAAGUUCCGACCUGCACGAAUGGCGUAAUGAUGGCCAGGCUGUCUCCACCCGAGACUCAGUGAAAUUGAACUCGCUGUGAAGAUGCAGUGUACCCGCGGCAAGACGGAAAGACCCCGUGAACCUUUACUAUAGCUUGACACUGAACAUUGAGCCUUGAUGUGUAGGAUAGGUGGGAGGCUUUGAAGUGUGGACGCCAGUCUGCAUGGAGCCGACCUUGAAAUACCACCCUUUAAUGUUUGAUGUUCUAACGUUGGCCCGUAAUCCGGGUUGCGGACAGUGUCUGGUGGGUAGUUUGACUGGGGCGGUCUCCUCCUAAAGAGUAACGGAGGAGCACGAAGGUUGGCUAAUCCUGGUCGGACAUCAGGAGGUUAGUGCAAUGGCAUAAGCCAGCUUGACUGCGAGCGUGACGGCGCGAGCAGGUGCGAAAGCAGGUCAUAGUGAUCCGGUGGUUCUGAAUGGAAGGGCCAUCGCUCAACGGAUAAAAGGUACUCCGGGGAUAACAGGCUGAUACCGCCCAAGAGUUCAUAUCGACGGCGGUGUUUGGCACCUCGAUGUCGGCUCAUCACAUCCUGGGGCUGAAGUAGGUCCCAAGGGUAUGGCUGUUCGCCAUUUAAAGUGGUACGCGAGCUGGGUUUAGAACGUCGUGAGACAGUUCGGUCCCUAUCUGCCGUGGGCGCUGGAGAACUGAGGGGGGCUGCUCCUAGUACGAGAGGACCGGAGUGGACGCAUCACUGGUGUUCGGGUUGUCAUGCCAAUGGCACUGCCCGGUAGCUAAAUGCGGAAGAGAUAAGUGCUGAAAGCAUCUAAGCACGAAACUUGCCCCGAGAUGAGUUCUCCCUGAGACUUAGAGUCUCCUGAAGGAACGUUGAAGACGACGACGUUGAUAGGCCGGGUGUGUAAGCGCAGCGAUGCGUUGAGCUAACCGGUACUAAUGAACCGUGAGGCUUAACC